rnacentral:lncRNA from 1 species
UUGUUUGUUCACUUCCAGGUAGAUGGAUAUACGGUUGUUUAUAGCAAAGCAUGAGUAGAAAUGGUUGCAAAUGUGCAAAUAAAGGUGUAUAGUAGAAUCACAUAUCUUUUUGUUUGUUAUACAUCUAUUUCAAGCAGACCAGCUGUUGAUUUCUCUUCAUUGGCUUUGGUUUCAUCAUGCCUUUGUUUACACUCAGGCACUCAGCAGAUCAGUUGUGGUGUGACACCUAUUUAAUGGCGUGUUUAAUGCUCUCACAAACCCAUGAUCAAAGAACGACCAUAUAUUGAUAUGCAUAAGUUUAUAAGUUGUUUAUUGACCUUUAUGCAGUUUUGUGUCUUCAGUGCAGAUGAUCGCGCCGUGAUUUUGCCAUGUAAGGACCUGGAAAAUGAACCAAUGGUAGUUCUUGGAGGGUAAACUCUGUCCAUCGUUGUUCUCUUUGUACAUACCCAUUGAGACAAACAAUAUUAUUUUGCGUCUACUCUUUAUUCACUUACUUCAAUAUGUCUUAGAUUAAUCGAAGCAAUAUUUUUUUCUUGAAUAUGUUGAUACAAUUUUAUGUGCAUUUAUUUUGAAAGUGCAUAUUUUCCCAUGGCAUGAAGGUCUUAGAUAUAUCAGGGUGAGCACAACAAAAAGCAUUGCAAGUCGUUCAUUUGAUUUAAGCGUAGUUGGUAAUGUAUUACACCAAUCAUAAUAUAAUAAUGAACGACAUUGUGAUCUUACGUCGCUGCAAAGCGCAUGAUUACUUCAAGUGAAUAUUAAAUCUGAGUACUUUGUAGUGAUUGCAAGUGGCAUUUUGGUUCUUAGGACAUUCUGAUUAUGAGUACUUUGUAGAGCUUCAAAGAAGCUUGAAGAAAUUAAUAUUUUUUUCGCAAGCAAUUUAUUCGAUUUUUUAAUGCACACUGCACAUAUCAUAUAUUGGUUCAUACUAUUUCAUCUUAAUCCAUUUAUACUUAAAAAUAGUCUAUUGAAACUGAACUGGAAUAUUUUGUGUAGUUCUGUCAACAUCAAGAUGCGGUACCUGAUGUCCAUGCAGAGUGGAGAAAUGACUUGAGUAGGGCUAGUGAUCGCCUCCUUGUUGUUCAUCUAAUUUGAAAGUAUCUCUGCCUUGGGCAUGGAAAGUGAUAAUUCAAUUUUCUUUUGUUGUGAACAAAUUUGAAUGAUGAUAGCACAUGAAAACGAUUUAGGCCAACAGUUGAUCUCAAUGAGAUGUGGACUGAUCGGUAUCUGAACCCUUGUGAACUGAUGGUUUUAUGUAUUUGUUUAUAUGAAUUGUGAGAUUUUAUGUAUUUGUUUUUUUAGAAAUUUGUGGAAUUCUUAUCUGUGGUCCAUUGUUAUCGGUAGAAUUUUGUAUGAAUGCUUUGAAAUUUUGUAUGUACAGAUCUGUUG